rnacentral:ncRNA from 1 species
UCUUGGAUUUAUGAAAGACGAACAACUGCGAAAGCAUUUGCCAAGGAUGUUUUCAUUAAUCAAGAACGAAAGUUGGGGGCUCGAAGACGAUCAGAUACCGUCCUAGUCUCAACCAUAAACGAUCACGACCAGGGAUCGGCGGAUGUUGCUUAUAGGACUCCGCCGGCACCUUAUGAGAAAUCAAAGUCUUUGGGUUCCGGGGGG